CCUCUCUCUCUCUCUACCGCACCUGCUGUCUCUACCCCUCUAUCUCUCUACCGCACCUGCUGUCUCUACCCCUCUCUCUCUACCGCACCUGCUGUCUCUACCUCUCUCUCUCUACCGCACCUGCUGUCUCUACCUCUCUCUCUCUACCGCACCUGCUGUCUCUACCCCUCUCUCUCUCUACCGCACCUGCUGUCUCUACCCCUCUCUCUCUCUACCGCACCUGCUGUCUCUACCCCUCUCUCUCUCUACCGCACCUGCUGUCUCUACCCCUCUCUCUCUCUACCGCACCUGCUGUCUCUACCUCUCUCUCGCUCUACCGCACCUGCCGUCUCUACCUCUCUUUCUCUACAGCACCUGCUCUCUCUAACUCUGAAUGAUCGGUUAUGAAAAGCCAACUGACAUUUACUCCUGAGGUGCUGACCUGUUGCACCCUCUACAGCUACUGUGAUUAUUAUUAUUUGACCCUGCUGGUCAUUUAUGAACGUUUGAACAUCUUGGCCAUGUUCUGUUAUAAUCUACACCUGGCACAGCCAGAAGAGGACUGGCCACCCCUCAUAGCCUGGUUCCUCUCUAGGUUUCUUCCUAGGUUCUCGGGCCUUUCUAGGGAGUUUUUUUCCUAGCCACCGUGCUUCUACAUCUGCAUUACUUGCUGUUUGGGGGUUUUAGGCUGGGUUUCUGUACAGCACUUUGUGAUAUCAGCUGAUGGCUUUAUAAAUACAUUGGAUUGAUUGCUGUAUUUAUAACACCUUGUAAGGGUGUUUCUGAGAGAUGUUUUCUAAGACCCCGUUUCCAUCUGUUUGACCAGAAAUCAAAGUCUUUGUUUAUUCAUCAUUUAUAGGAUGGGGGGGGGGGGCUCGGCUCUUAGCUUUCAUUUGACCUCCAAUUUGACACGGCUGCUGUGUUAGUGCUCAUGGACCCUUUUGGUGCUCGUGGGCCCUGUUGGCCCUAUUUGUGCUGAUGGACCCUGUUGGCUCUAUUUGUGCUGAUGGGCCCUGUUGGUGCUCGUGGGCCCUGUUGGUGCUCGUGGGCCCUGAUGGUGCUGAUGGAUCCUGUUGGCCCUGUUGGUGCUCGUGGGCCCUGUUGGCCCUAUUUGUGCUGAUGGGCCCUGUUGGCCCUGUUGGUGCUGAUGGGCCCUGUUGGUGCUCAUGGGCCCUGUUGGUACUCGUAGGCCCUGUUGGCCCUAUUGGUGCUGAUGGGCCUGUUGGUGCUGAUGGGCCCUGUUGACCCUGUUGGUGCUGAUGGGCCUGUUGGUGCUGAUGGGCCCUGUUGGUACUCGUAGGCCCUGUUGGCCCUGUUGGUGCUCGUAGGCCCUGUUGGCCCUGUUGGUGCUGAUGGGCCCUGUUGGUGCUCAUGGGCCCUGUUGGCCCUGUUGGUGCUCAUGGGCCCUGUUGGUGCUGAUGGGCCCUGUUGGUGCUCAUGGGCCCUGUUGGCCCUGUUGGUGCUGAUGGGCCCUGUUGGUGCUGAUGGGCCCUGUUGGUGCUCGUGGGCCCUGUUGGUGCUCGUGGGCCCUGUUGGUGCUCAUAGGCCCUGUUAAUGCUCGUGGGCCCUGUUGGCCCUGUUGGUGCUCGUAAGCCCUGUUGCCCUGUUGGUGCUCGUGGGCCCUGUUGGUGCUGAUGGGCCCUGUUGGUGCUGAUGGGCCCUGUUGGUGCUCGUGGGCCCUGAUGGCCCUGUUGGUGCUCAUGGGCCCUGUUGGUGCUGAUGGGCCCUGUUGGUGCUCAUAGGCCCUGUUGGCCCUGUUGGUGCUCAUGGGCCCUGUUGGUGCUGAUGGGCCCUGUUGGUGCUCGUGGGCCCUGUUGGUGCUCGUAGGCCCUGUUGGCCCUGUUGGUGCUCGUAGGCCCUGUUGGCCCUGUUGGUGCUCGUGAGCCCUGUUGGCCCUGUUGGUGCUCGUGGGCCCUGUUGGCCCUGUUGGUGGUCAUGGGCCCUGUUGGUGCUGAUAGGCCCUGUUGGUGCUCGUGGGCCCUGUUGGCCCUGUUGGUGCUCGUGGGCCCUGUUGGUGCUCGUGGGCCCUGUUGGUGCUCGUAGGCCCUGUUGGCCCUGUUGGUGCUCGUAGGCCCUGUUGGCCCUGUUGGUGCUCGUGGGCCCUGUUGGCCCUGUUGGUGCUCGUGGGCCCUGUUGGCCCUGUUGGUGGUCAUGGGCCCUGUUGGUGCUGAUGGGCCCUGUUGGUGCUCGUGGGCCCUGUUGGCCCUGUUGGUGCUCGUGGGCCCUAUUGGUGCUCGUGGGCCCUAUUGGUGCUCGUGGGCCCUCUUGGUGCUCGUGGGCCCUUUUACAUGGAAAUUACUAUUAGCAUUAUUUAGAGACCCUCUCCUCCCCCAUAGUUGGAUUUAGGCCCCCCCCCCUUGUAAUUCGCACUCUGGAACAGUCUCAAUGUCAUGUUUCUGGUGGAGGACUAGUGUCUAGUAUAAACACCUGUUGGUAUGUAAAAACCCAGCUGUUGCUCUACUUCUGUCCAGUGACAUACUACUUAGAAUGAAGCAAUGUAUUUAAGAAUAGGUUACAGAACGGAAGAGGUGUUCUAGAAUACGUUAUAGAACAGAAGAGGUGUUCUAGAAUACGUUAUAGAACAGAAGAGGUGUUCUAGAAUACAUUAUAGAACAGAAGAGGUGUUCUAGAUUACGUCAUAGAACAGAAGAGGUGAUAUAGAAUACACUAUAGAACAGAAGAGGUGUUCUAGAAUACAUUAUAGAUCAGAAGAGGUGUUCUAGAAUACAUUAUAGAACAGAAUAGGUGUUCUAGAAUACACUAUAGAACAGAAGAGGUGUUCUAGAAUACAUUAUAGAACAGAAGAGGUGUUCUAGAAUACAUUAUAGAAUGGAAGAGGUGUUCUAGAAUACAUUAUAGAAUGGAAGAGGUGUUCUAGUGUGGAUAUUGGAACAUCAUUAGAUCCAAACCCCACCCACCCACCUUAUAGGCCCUUCCCUGGCCUGGAGGAUGGGGCUUGGCUAGAAUGGACUGCUCCCAUCUGUCCCUCUCUCUCCUCCUGCUCACAGAUUGGUUGGCCAGGGGAGUGGGUGGGCGGGGAGGGAGG
rnacentral:lncRNA from 1 species